CGACGAACGCUGGCGGCGGUGCCGUAACAACGAUGCAAAGUCGAGCGGAGUCGAUCGACGGAAGCCUUCGGGCGGAAGAUGGUUGACUUAGCGGCGGAUGGGUGAGUAACGCGUGGGCAACCUGCCUCGAAGACCGGGAUAACAGACCGAAAGGGCUGCUAAUACCGGAUGUGGUCAAGGAUCCGCAUGGAUUUUUGAUUAAAGGGGAAACCCGUUUCGAGAUGGGCCCGCGUCCUAUCAGCUAGUUGGUGAGGUAAAAGCUCACCAAGGCGACGACGGGUAGCCGGCCUGAGAGGGUGACCGGCCACACUGGAACUGAGACACGGUCCAGACUCCUACGGGGGGCAGCAGUGGGGAAUCUUCCACAAUGGGCGAAAGCCUGAUGGAGCGACGCCGCGUGAGCGAAGAAGGCCUUGGUUGUAAAGCUCUGUCUGGAGGGACGAAGGAAGUGACGGUACCUCCGGAGGAAGCCACGGCUAACUACGUG
rnacentral:rRNA from 1 species